GAAAAAUCCUCCAUUCAAUGCAGUCAUGAUCUUGUAGCAAGUAAUAUGGGCAAUAUUGAUUUCCAUGCCUGGAGCCUCAGAAAAGCAAAAACUUCUAUGUCUCAUAAGAUAGAAACCGAGCUUGAAAGAUGAAUUGCCUGAAGCUGCUAAUGAACUCAUAAUUAUAAUUAGAUUAUAGUCAACUAUAAGCAUUCCCUGCUUAUAAACCUAUGGACAAUCAGCCUUAGUGGAGUAACAAGUUCCAAGAAAUACUUACAGGAAACAAACAAACCUACUCAGGAUUGAGUUUAGCAUUACAAAAUGCUGACUGACUGAAUGAAAAAGGAAACAGCAUGGGGUAAAAGAAAUCGCAAAUAGCCUCAGUUCUUGCUGCAAUAUGUUCUUCAGCUCCCACUAAAGACUUAGUUCAGGGAUAAUCAUUCAAAUGCUACUACAGACUGCUCAGGUUUGAAUACAAUUGAAUAAAAUAUCCCUUUCAUUCUC